ACCUUCGUGGUGUAAGGGUCAGCACGCUCGGCACGUAUUCGAGAGGUCCGUGGUUCGAGUCCCGGCGAAAGUA
rnacentral:tRNA from 1 species